rnacentral:miRNA from 1 species
GCCGCCCUCCCGCUGCUGCCCUCACUGCUACCGCUGCUGCCGCCAGGGGCUGGGGCUGGGGCCGGGGCCGGGC